rnacentral:lncRNA from 1 species
AAAAAAAAACGGUUGUCUGUAAAGUCGGUUUACUGACGAUAGUCGAACGUGACAACGUCAUAAGAAAUUGAUCGUCAGAUGUCGAAUACUGUCGAAAGCGGAGGCCGAUCGUGCCUCUUUGUCUCUCGUUGCGUGCACUCGCUUGCACUUCAAGCCUUAAACGGAACGCCUCAGAGCGAGGUAACGCCUCAGAGCGAGGUAACGCCUCAGAGCGAGGUAACGCCUCAGAGCGAGGUAACGCCUCAGAGCGAGGUAACGCCUCAGAGCGAGGUAACGCCUCAGAGCGAGGUAACGCCUCAGAGCGAGGUAACGCCUCAGAGCGAGGUAACGCCUCAGAGCGAGGUAACGCCUCAGAGCGAGGUAACGCCUCAGAGCGAGGUAACGCCGCAUGAGUCAUGUAUUUUCGUGCGUGCAGCCGGCUCCAUCGAUUUAUAAGACGUUGUCACGUCAA